UACGUAGGGUGCGAGCGUUAAUCGGAAUUACUGGGCGUAAAGCGUGCGUAGGCGGUUCGUUGUGUCUGUGGUGAAAGCCCCGGGCUUAACCUGGGAACUGCGAUGGAAACUAGCGAGCUGGAGUGUGGCAGAGGGGGGUGGAAUUCCGCGUGUAGCAGUGAAAUGCGUAGAGAUGCGGAGGAACACCGAUGGCGAAGGCAGCCCCCUGGGCUAACACUGACGCUCAGGCACGAAAGCGUGGGGAGCAAACAGG
rnacentral:rRNA from 1 species